GGUGUCGCUCUGUGCUCGGUGGCGCUUUGUGCCCAUGGCGCACAUUACCAUCAACCAGUACCUGCAGCAGGUGUACGAAGCCAUCGACACCAGAGAUGGAGCAUCUUGUGCAGAGUUGGUGUCUUUUAAACAUCCUCAUGUUGCAAACCCACGACUUCAAAUGGCCUCUCCAGAGGAGAAGUGUCAACAAGUCUUGGAACCCCCUUAUGAUGAAAUGUUUGCAGCUCAUUUAAGGUGCACUUACGCAGUGGGGAAUCAUGACUUCAUAGAGGCGUACAAGUGCCAGACCGUGAUCGUCCAAUCAUUCUUGCGAGCAUUCCAGGCCCACAAAGAAGAAAACUGGGCUCUGCCUGUCAUGUAUGCAGUAGCACUUGACCUUCGAGUGUUUGCUAAUAAUGCAGAUCAACAGUUGGUAAAGAAAGGAAAAAGCAAAGUUGGGGACAUGUUGGAAAAAGCAGCAGAGUUACUGAUGAGCUGUUUCCGGGUCUGUGCCAGCGACACCCGUGCUGGUAUAGAGGACUCUAAGAAGUGGGGCAUGCUGUUUCUGGUGAAUCAGUUGUUUAAAAUCUACUUCAAGAUCAACAAACUCCAUUUAUGUAAACCCCUAAUUAGAGCAAUUGACAGCUCAAACCUGAAAGACGAUUACAGCACUGCACAGAGAGUAACAUACAAAUACUACGUUGGACGCAAGGCCAUGUUUGACAGUGACUUUAAGCAAGCCGAGGAGUACCUGUCGUUUGCCUUUGAGCAUUGUCACCGUUCUAGUCAAAAGAACAAAAGGAUGAUUCUGAUCUAUUUGCUUCCAGUAAAAAUGCUAUUGGGUCACAUGCCCACUGUUGAGCUCCUGAAAAAGUAUCACCUGAUGCAGUUUGCGGAAGUAACCAGAGCUGUGAGCGAGGGCAACCUGCUGCUGCUGCACGAGGCGCUGGCGAAGCACGAGGCAUUCUUCAUUCGCUGUGGGAUCUUCCUCAUCCUGGAGAAACUGAAGAUCAUCACCUACAGGAACCUCUUUAAGAAAGUGUAUUUGUUACUGAAAACACACCAGCUGUCUCUGGAUGCUUUUCUGGUUGCCUUGAAAUUCAUGCAGGUGGAGGACGUGGACAUUGACGAAGUUCAGUGUAUUCUGGCUAACUUGAUAUACAUGGGCCACAUCAAAGGCUACAUAUCGCAUCAGCAUCAGAAGCUAGUGGUCAGCAAGCAGAACCCAUUUCCUCCGCUGUCCACAGUGUGUUGAAUGUAGACGUAGCCCUGAGGACGGGUUCCCCCGGAUGCAGGAACUGCCCCAGGGCUUCAGCGGCACUCCUUAGCUCGCUCCUACAUCUGCAGGUCUAGUUUCUUCGGGGCUGGGCGGGGAAGUUUGUGGGCUCUUCUGGGGCCUGAAUGGGCCCCUCUGAAGGUGACUCAUUCCCAUGUAUUAGCCCUGGGCUCUCACCUGGGGCUCAGCAGGGCUGUGGGUGGGCCCCCCUGUUUCUUUCCACACGCAGGGAGCUGGAUUCUGGGAGCGCAGAUCCCAGUAGAGCCAGGGAAGCCAGAUCUCUUGUAGGCCCUGCUGUCUCCUAAGUCACACCCGGAUUCCAGCCGUGGACUGCCGCACACACACACGAGCUGCAGGAGGGCAAGCGUCUGUGCCUGUGGACUUCAUGCCAAGGAUCCUCUUGACCUACAGAGCUGCUCCCCCCCAGCAGCAAGGUCCUCAGCGCUGGCAGUCGUGACAAGUGCCUCCUGCGUCCUGUGGGGCAGACACGGAGCGAACUCCUGUCAGUGAAGGCUUUGGGUGCUGCGUCUGUUUUCUGGCUACCCGUGUGUCCAGUGGGGCCCUGUUCUCUUUCAGUGUUGGGAAAUGACAAGUAAAGCGAAAGUCGUAACAAUAAAUUGAAGCACGCAGAGAGCUCUCUAUUACCUGCCACGGGAGGUCCUGUAGAUCCCGUGCACGCUUCUCGGAGGUCAGCACCCCGCAGGCACACUGGUCUGCAUUUGCAGCAGCAACAUGAGAAUAAAAAUCAGCGCCUUCCCAGUGAAUAUCGGACUCUGUCUAUGGUGUUAACCAUUGCAUAAUUCCGGCUGUGGUACUAACCAUUAUAAUCGUAUCCUUAAUGCUGAUGAAUGUGCAAUAAUUCACACAGACACACAGACUGGAGUUAAACCACCCCCAACAGUGCUCAUGGUUUAGCUCAGAGUAGUCCGAGCAAGCACAAGUGACAGAAACUGCACUUUCUAGCAUCGCCAUUGCUCCAGCACGGAGACGCGGACCACCUUUGAGUUGUGGCAACUCCUUAUCACAAAUCUGUGGGCUUCACCCAGUACUACAGAAGAAGGAGGGAGGAUGUGGACAGGGAAGCCGGAGGCUGCUGUGGUCUGAGCACUCACCGUGGGGAAUGCACUGUUUGCGGUCCUCACCAAGCCUGUAGCCUUGAGCACAGCUGCACGUGUAGGAUUCCUGUCCCGGGAGGCAGAAGUGUUGGCACCCAUCAGUCCGCUCCAGGUGACAUUCAUUUUUAGCUGAAAAGGAAAAAAAAAAAAAAAGACCAGAAAUGCUGGCUUGGAAAUAGGCAUUUGAUCACAGCCUUGCACACAGAGUUCUGGUGUUUUGGUCCAUGUGUCCUCAUUCUCUUCAGACCGUUGCCCGUUGUGUCAGUGUUUGCCACACUUCCAUAUUUCAGGAAUGUGCAUAUUAAAGACUCCAUGAGUGAGGCCGGGCGCGGUGGCUCACAUCUGUAAUCCCAGUACUUUGGGAGGCCAAGGUGGGUGGGUCGCGAGGUCAGAAGAUGGAGACCAUCCUGGCUAACACGGUGAAAUCCUGUCUCUACUAAAAAUACAAAAAUGAGCUGGUCGUGGUGGCAGGUGCCUGUCGUCCCAGCUACUCGGGGGGCUGAGGCAGGAGAAUGGCGUGAACCUGGGAGGUGGAGCUUGCAGUGAGCUGAGAUCACACCGCUGCACUCCAGCCUGGGCGACAGAGCAAGACUCCAUCUCAAAAAAAUAA